UACGUAGGUGACCAGCGUUGUCCGGAUUUACUGGGCGUAAAGAGCGCGCAGGCGGUCGUUCAAGUCGAGUGUGAAAGCCCCCGGCUUAACUGGGGAGGGUCAUUCGAUACUGCUCGGCUCGAAGACAGGAGAGGGAAGCGGAAUUCCUGGUGUAGCGGUGAAAUGCGUAGAGAUCAGGAAGAACACCGGUGGCGAAGGCGCUCUGCUAGGCCGUAACUGACACUGAGGGACGAAAGCUAGGGGAGCGAAUGGG
rnacentral:rRNA from 1 species